rnacentral:lncRNA from 1 species
AAAAAACUAGUAUUCAAAAUCUCUAAAAUCCUUAAGAGCCAAUGCUUCCCGCCAAAUUUAUUGAAUAAAAAGUUGUUGUUUAUAGUCGAGUGACAGUUUUAUUUUUGGGACAGAAGCCAGCGGCGUUUGGAAUUAUUAGUGUUUAGUUGGGAUGCGAAAGGAAGGCAAAGGGGAAGAAGAAACAGAGACGCAAAAGGUGGGGGGGGUCCCCG